rnacentral:lncRNA from 1 species
UCGAUGUUUUCAUUUUCAAGAUCUGGACCUUAGUUUUUGAUUUAAGAAUCUUUAAGACAACCACAUUAUACAGACUAAAGUUUGGACAUAUUCAAAUUGCACUUCAUUUCAAUCCAAAAAAAAAUGUUUGGUUAAGCUAGUUAGCAGUUUAGCACGAUCGCAUACACCUAAUCCCGACGACAAACAAUAUGUGUUGGUAUUGGUGUACAAGAUUCUGUCCAAGGAAGUUGAUUCUUUCACGAUCCUUUUAAUCACUCGAUUAUCCUCUAAGCAGCCUUCACAAACAUCAUAUUAAUUACCUAGUUGAUCUUAAUAAUUGUCUAGUUUAGCAUAACUACUGUGGCUCUGUGGUUUAUUGGAAAAGUUGUCCCUAGAGACAAAAAUUUAUAAUUACAAAUCUAAUUACUAUACAAAUUUUACAAUUAUUUUCAAAUAAAUACUUUUUUCCUGGAUUUUUCCUAUCUCUUCCGUUCCCAUUCCCGAGACAUUCAUUCCAGCUUGAACAUCAUAGAAUCUUGAAAAUAUCAUAGAAUCCCAAAUCAAUGAUUAAUUUAUGAAUAUGAUUUUCACUUUGGAUUUUGAUUGGUUUUCUGCAAUCAAAGAAAAAAGUAGAAAUUUUUACAGUAUAUUUCAAAAUAUUUUGGAUGAAAUGAAUUUUAAUUUAUUUAUUUAAAUUAGCGACUCUUAUUAAAAAAAAAAUAGCACUUUUCUAUUCUUUUAAAAAUCUCUUGAUUAACAACAUUUAAAGUUGGUAGUUUACAGACGUCCAUUUAUAAUCGGGAUCGAUUUUGAUUGUUUUUGUUCUACUACUUGAAUUUAACGAGUUAAAGAACCAUUUAUCUUCCAAAUACCAUGAAAAAUUGAAAACUUGUAUUUUACAUUUGGUUCAGUUAUUUCUAUCCAAUGUUAAUUAAGAUUUCUAAUUCCAAAUCCACAAUAAUUUGAAGUCAAACUGUCACCAGCUAAACUUAAUUUGUUAGUGCCAAAAAUAUGCGUAAUAACAAUAGAUUUGAUAAUCGUCGAAUAUCAAGUCGUAGGAAGCAAAAAUAGACUAUUCACUCCGAAAAGGACAUAGAGGUUUAGGCCAAUAUAAUAAUCGAUAUAUUUACCCAUUUAUUUAUAAAUUCUUUUAGGUCACACUUUAUUAUUGGAGUGCCCACUUUAUUGUGUCACAUGGAACUAAUGGACUAAAACUUGCAGAUCCUAAAAAUGAGUCAGUAAAAGGAGGCUAAACAUUAAAGAAUCUCAACAUCAUGAAUUCAUGAUACCUAAAAACAGGAGUCAUUAACUUUUUUUUUGUCCCAAGAUCAAUGAAGAAUCACCUUUCUCAUUGUUGUUACUGCUUUUUUCUCUUAUUUUAAGACCAAAAAGAAACAAAAUACAAGUCGUGCACAAAAAAAAAAAAAAAAAAAAAACAAAAUACAUCUCUAAGCAUGUGUUGAUUUGAUUAUCAAUCUGUACAAGAAUAUAAGUAACAUGAUACUUUUAAAAAUUACAACACCUCUACCAAUCUCUCAACAACCUCCCUUGUCAAGAUAUCGAAGAAAUAGAGAAGCAAUAAAAAGGUCCCUUGUUAAUUAUUUUUUUCGUAGAAAAUAAAAAAUGUCCCAUGUUAUCGGUUGAUGUAUCCUCCUAAUACCUCAUUUUAAAGCGUUACUGUUACGAACAUGUGAAGCAAAAAUACGGCGUUCGAGGAUCAACAGACCAACCACACGUAAGCGUGCUACAAUCUUACUUUCCGGCCAGCUAAACCAAAGGUAUUAUGGUUAAAAAAAAAUAAAAAAAAUUUGGUUUACAAGUCAUGAUAAUAUAAUUGUCUUUCUUUCUACAAAAUUUGGUAUAAUUUCUUUCUAAAUGUAAAGAGCUCAUUAAUUAAACUCUUCAAAUAAACGUUGCAUUUACUAGUAUCGGAAAACAAGCUAAAUAACUAUGGUUGAUAUUCUUUGAUGUAAUUGACGUAUAGUAGUUAGAUGAAAUUAGUCCUCCAGUCAAAAUGUUGAAUGGUGAACUAAAACUGUAGAGCGAUCAAAUCAUUUUUACAGGUACUGUUUUUUUAAUCCAUCAUAUCAAAUCUUUCAAAAGAAAAAAAAAUACUAACCAUUUGGAUAACGUGCGUUAAACCUGUUACCUCUACGUGCAGCAACAGAAAAUGUGAUGGUGACGAAUAACGUUGAUUACUUUGUAAUGUGCUCUAUAGGUGGAGCCUGCUCAUAACACUUGUAAGGCUACAAAAUGAACCUCGCUCUCUGCCUCUCUCUAUUCGUUAACCAUUCCUAAAUCGUGUAUAUAUAUAUAUAUAUAUCGUUAUAUCUUUUGUUUUUCUUUUUGGCAGCACCUUUUGUUUUGUUUAAACGCCUAAAAACGCCUUUGAUUGUUUUUCUUUUUAUUGAUAGGAUGAGAUAGGACAAUAAAUACCUUUUUUGCCAGAGAAAAAUUCAAGGUUGUUGAUGAUUUCCUUGUUUCCCCAAUUAGAAAGAGAAAAAUUCUUGUCGUAUCAAAUUAGAUAUUGACAAAAAUGUCAAAAUAUAUGAAGUGUGAGGAGAAACCGUUUGAUUGAACGUAAGACAUUUGAAAAAUGGACAUGUAGUAGUUUCUAGAUUUGCUUACAAGGAAUCAUUUCUCUAACGCAAUAGCUAACGUGCACGGCUUUUUUUUAUGUAAACUUCAAACAAACCACGAUCAACGCGUUUACUAUUUAUUGCAUGGAAACUAUAGCAAGUGUG